rnacentral:sRNA from 1 species
UUCAACAGACACGCGGUGCGUGGGGCUGAUAGUUUCAGCUUUACGCGCCGUAAUUGCGUGGGCAAUCGA